UGAGAGACUCCUCCUCUUACCAUAAAAACAGCCUAGAGUAGCUACCUGGGAGGUAGGUGCCUAUUAGAGGUCUUCCUUCCAUCAAACCGCUGGGAGGUCCCUCCUAAGAAUACAUCCACCUCUAAACAAUCCUGACUCCCUUGACAUUGUAGAUUGUGUUUUGUGGGUACCUAGGACAUGAAAUUAGACCAAGCAGAGACCAUGGUAUGGGAAGGACUCUGGGAAAUGAAAGGAGAGAUGAGUAUCCUGGGAAUUAUGCUUGAGGAUACCUCCUGAAGUGGUCACCUCUUCCUGGCUAAGGAAGGUCCCUAAGUAGGAGGAUGGAAGCAGGGCCAAAAACACAUAGAAACUUUAACCCUGGAACUGAGGAAUCUGGGUUCUCUCAGGGUUCCUUCAGAGUGUCACUCACCACUGUCAUGUUUGGGAACACAGCAUUCUGUGACAGCAAGAAAAACAUCAACUAAAGAAGGUGUCCAGGGUGAAGACCCAGAUUACACCUGCAGCUUGGAUGGCCCCAUGAUUAAGAUGACAAGAAGGGCCCUGCUGGUGAAGGGCACGAGGUUACACAGCAGUUGCAGAAUCAUGGGUGACACAGAGGGGACCUGGGCAAGGGGCAGAGCAGAGCAUUUUCUCACCCUCUGCACAGACACAACGAUGUUUUUUUGGAGAAGUCUUUGUGCUGUGUGAAUUUCUUAAAUUCUUCCAGGGCCUCCAGGUUUUCUUUUGGAUACUUUCCUGUGAGCAGAGGACAGAUAAGCAGAUGGGGUGUGACAGCACAGUUCUGUCGGGAACCAGUGACACAAAGACAAAAGCACUGCCCAGCUCUAGGGUCUUCACCCUGGAGCACCUUCUUUAGAUGGGAGCAAGAGGGGAGGAGACUUCAGAGAGACCAUGGAGGUGGGAUAUGGGUGCAUAGCUUGUCCACAGGAAGUGGGUAACACUGAUACAAGGGGCCACUGUAUAACCAAAUGUAUAUGUGACUUCCUAAGCAGACAAGUAAUACCACACCUUAAUCAGAAAGAAGCCUGUGUUUCAAGGUCACUAGUCUGCCUCCUGUCCCUGGGGGGCAUUGUCCAUAAAAAGCAUCUGUUAGGACACAGCCUUUCAAUGAGACCUGCCUGCUAUGAAACCUGAGAACCCAGAAAGGAACAUGUAGAAGUUCCAGUCACUGGCGGGAACUUCUGUCCUAUUUGGUCCAUGUUCAAGGCCACAUCUGCUCAUGGAAGUUCUGCAUAUACCCCAACUUCCCACUUCAGAGCAUGCACACUGUCCACAGAGCACCUUAAUCAGAGCUGCCAGAGGGACACCCAGGGGGCUUUGUACUUCCCAGUGCCAGGGUGUAGCUGUGCACAUUCAAAUAGCUGACGGUAGUAGCGAACAUGGACAGGAGUGGGAGUCUCUGGGGUUCCUCACCUAUCAGGUGUCCGGGUUGGAAUCUUUUCUCAAACAAAAGGUUUUCAGCAUAUAAGGUGUAGUGGUCCUUCACUGGCAGCUUGUAGAUGUAGACGAGCUUAUGGCCCAAAACUGAAAAUUAAAGAGAAAUUGGCCUAUAAUGUCUUUUUCAAAGACAAUAUUCAGACCACACGAAGGAACAGUCUAGAAUAAACCAUGAGCACCCAACCUGCUGGCUCCAAGCCUUACUGUGACCUCAUUACAGGAAAAGGUGUCAUCGUGUCAUCCAUAGCUACGGAGUCAGGAUCACAGGUGUCAGGGAAGAUGGAGACUGCACAUAACUGGUUCCCUGGCACCUACGCUACCCUGCUUCUGAAAUCCUAAGCUUCAGUCUCCCUGUUGGCCAGUGGACAGCACUAUCUGAAGGGGAGUGUGGUCUUUUCUGUGGACUAGCCUGUGACCUCUAAAGUCACCUGGGAAUUAACUGGGUAGGCCUUCCUGAAAAGUAAGCAGGAUAGGGAUGCUACAACCCCAGGAGCUUGCCUUGCAAGGGAUAAUUGCAUGCAGUCAGGGGUACCUUGCUGGCUAAUAAUUCUACAUAAUAUAGAAUCACCUGAGUUUAGUUCCACUGGCCAUGACAGUGAAAAUGAUAUUGAUUACGUUCACUGAUUGUGGAAGGCUCAUCUUAAUUGUGGGCAGGAACAUUCUGUGGGCAGAAGAUCCAGACUGUAAAAUGGUGAAGCCACCUGAGCACCAGCAUGAAUACACUCAUUGCUUUCCUGACUAUGUGUGCAAUAUGAGCAGCUGCUUCAUGCUCCAGCUGCCAGGAAAGCCCCACCAUUGUGGACUAUAUCUUGAACUGUGACCUAGAGCAAACCCUUUCUCCCUUAAGCAGUGUUGAUUAGAGUGUUUUUAUCACAGCAUCAGGAGAAGAAACUGAGACAGGGACUCACAGUCCAGUUGACCAGGCACCUCUGUUCUCUGCUAUGGGAUGGUCUGUAUGUCAAGUGUGUUGCUGAUUGGUCAGUAAAUAAAUCACUGAUUGGCCAUUGGCUAGGCAGGAAGUAUAGGUGGGACAAAGAGAAGAAUUCUGGGAAGUGGAAGGCUGAGGGGGAGACACUGCCAGCCGCCAUGAUGACAAACAGCAUAAGAAGAUGCCAGUAAGCCACGAGCCAUGUGGCAAGGUAUAGAUGAAUGGAAAUGGAUUAAUUUAAGCUAUAAGAAGAGUUAGCAAGAAGCCUGCCAUGGCCAUACAGUUUGUAACCAAUAUAAGUCUCUGUGUUUACUUGGUUGGGUCUAAAUGGCUGUGGGACUGGCGGGUGACAGAGAUUUGUCCUGAGGUGGGCCAGGCAGGAAAACUCUAGCUACAGUUCUCUGCAUAUGAAUCCCUCUGAAUGCACUGGCCCUUAGACCUGAAAAACAGAAAACCAACAGACAGCCUCUUUCAGAACACAUGACUGUGCUCUACUGAGGUCACUUGGUUCAUUAGCUUUAGCACAAUGUCCCCUGAAACCCCACAUCAACCCUUCCAAGUUUUUUUUAUUAUGAAAAAUUUUUAUUCAUUUUACAUACCAAUCAAAGAUCCCCUCUUCCCUCCUCCCGCUCCUCCAGCCUCCCCCUCCCAAACCACCCUCCAUUCCCUUCUACAAGAAGGUAAGGUCUCCCAUGGGGAGGUACAUUUAGUAGAGGCAGGUCCAAGCCCCUCCCCCUACCUCAAGGCUGUGCAAGAAUUGUCUUCCUGUCAAUCCACAGAAUUAAAUGUACCCAAACAAGUGAAAAAUACACUACAAAUAGGCUGUGGGAAGAAGCCCAUAGCUGUUUUGAGGGAAGAAUUGUCGUAGUACAUGAGAAAAAUUACAGACAAAAACAAAUGGUAUUCAUAAUCUGUGACCCCACAGAACAUGUCUAGUGGGGCUCCCUAUCAGAGAAUUAUUCAUCUGGUGGGUCAAUCUGUUGAAUAUUAGUCAUCUGCUAUAUGUUCUUUUGGUCUCUGGCAGUGUUUUAAGUUUUGAAGACUGUGGGACUUUUAAAGUUGUUUGGUUUUUGUAUUGUGAUAUUAAUGCCAACAUGACAGCUUGGGAACAAAUGAGAAAGGAAAGGCUAUGGUUUAAUACUGAUGUUUUUGGACAUCAAGUUGAUAUGUGGUCCAUUGUGCUGGUGUUUUAUGUCAGCUUGACACAAACCCAGGCCUCUCUGGGAAGGAAUCUCAAUUGAGGGGUUCCCUCCUUCAGACUAGCCUGUAAGCACUCUGUAAGGCAUGUUCUUAAUUAGAAACAGUUGAUGUGGGAGAACACAACCCAUUGUGAGCAGUACCAUCUCUGCACAGAUGGUCCUGGGAAGAAUAAGAAAGCAAAGUGGGUCAUGUGAUCAAGCCGAGCAGCACUCCUCCCUCUAAGGCUUUUGGUUCCAUUCCUUCCUCCAGGUGCACGCCCUGAGUUCCCUCCUUGACUUUCUCCUGUCAUGGACUGUGGCCUGGAAAUUUUAAGAUGAAAUAAACCCUUUUCUCCCCCCAACUUUAAUUGGGUCAGUUUUUUAUCAAAGCAGCAGAAACCAAACAAAACCCAAUUCUCAUGAUGAGCAAGGAAUGAUGUAGUAAUUUCCAACAGGAUCAGUGAUGGUGGAAAAGAAAAUGUAAGACAGAUUUAUAGGGAUGAUGUGGUUGUCUCUGUGGAAGGAGUCUAAAAACAAAACCAGAAUGGAGAAAUGACAUGGCCAAGACCUCACACUGUAACACCUUCUCCAUCAUGGUGUGACUAGCCAAGGGGAAGGAAUCCUAAUGAAAAAUGGUUUCCUUUACUGAUCUCUUGUAACCCUCAGUGUCCCUACCUCUCCUUACACUGUGUUGUUCAGUGUUCACUGUAUUCACUAUCCCUGCUCAGUCUACUGUGUGCUCCUGUCUCCUGAUUACUUAAUUAUAUAUUAUUAUGAGAGUGUCACAUGCCAAGAGGAAACCAAAAUGGAACAAGGUGGACAGCAACUAGGGAGACAAGGGGUUGGUGAUUUCAAUGGAAUUGCCUGAGUCAGCUGCAUAAAGAGAACAUUUAAACACGUGAAUGAAGGAAGUGAAGGAAAUGAGCCAUGAAUAAGGAAGUAGAUGAGGACUCCAGGUGGGAGGAACACUCAGUGUGGUCUGGAAGAGGCAGAGGCAGACUGGCUGAGAAAGGAACAGACAGAAGGGUGGAGAGGGGGGGGGGGAAGAUGGUCAGAGGCCAAGUUAGAGAGGGGGUAGAAAAAAUGAUGAUGAGCUGUAGACCAAGCUAGAGACUUUAUGUUUAUUGUGAAUAAAAUGACGAGAAAGAGUGUGUUGUCAAAGUGAGAACAUGACAUUCUUUUAUUUUACUUUUUCCAUGAAUUUUAAAGUUACCAUACAGAGUAAUGAGUUUAUUUAUGGUAUAUUCAUAUAUAUGUGGGUUGUUUUCUUCUAAUUUAUAGUCUUCUGAUAAUAUCCUUCUCUGUGUCCAUCCUCAAAUCCAGAAGGAGGUGGAGCGGUCCAUAAACCUGGAGUUGAGACUACAGACAGGUCCUUCCAUGCCUCCAUGACUGCUAUAUGUACUUCUGCUCCAGCUGCCUAUGGUGUCCUCUUCAUGACACACUCUAGAAUACAGAAUGUGAACUGAAAAGGGAAUUCCAGCCAUUCAGCUAAGGGGAAUUGUUCUCCAUGGGAAAUCCUGAACAGAAAGGAAGAGGAAAUGAGGAAAAAUCAAAUCUCUACCAUCACAAAGAGGGUGCUGGGCUGUGACUGCAGGACGUCUGAACUGUCUGAUCAUAGAGGAGCAUGUUAUGUGCAAUAGGAAGUUCAGCAGAACUCUGGACUUCCUAUGCAGGACCCCAUACCUGAUACCAGGACAAUGUCUCAAGAUGGGACCAGUGAUCCCAGCAUCAGGGGAGUCCCACUAGAAGUCUGUUCAGAGAAAUACAACAAUGGCAGACUGAGAAGAGAAAGAAGGUAUCAGGGCUGGAUGAAUGAAGACUACACGUGGACUCGGGCCUCACAACUGGUCAUUUGAUGGCUGAGGAGAAGAAAGGACAAGAGCUUGCAAAUCGUUCUCCCAAAGAUACCAAGAAUGGUAGGAAUUGUCCCAGUUGGAAACUAGACUAAGUAUGGUAGAAGGAGCCCACUCUGGACCCAUUGCCUCACAAGUUCAUGGGCAGUUCUUGCAAACUCACAUACCCAUGAGCAUAGUCAUUAUGUAGGUGGGAUGUUUAAAGCUAUCCUUGUAGUAGGCCAGGGCGAAAUCCUCUGUGAUCAAGAAAAAGAUGCCUAUGUAGUGCUUUGACCCUGUGGAAACAAAUAAGCCAUAUGCCCAUGGAGUCUCUUUAGAAGUCUCUAUGAAAAGGUAGAAAUAUGGGUGUGAGCACUUACAGGCUUGAAAGAAACCAGGGUAUUUUUCGAAAUGAUCCAGAUACUGCUUGAACAAAACACAUCCGAUGGGUUUCCUGAAAUACAGGAUAAAAAGUGACUCUAAAUUGGACACUUUACUGCCUUUCCCACACACAUCAUAGGCCAGGCAAUUAGGUCAGACUUCCCUCCCAAUACAUAGGACUCGGGCAGCAGUCUCAGAAUCCAGCUGGUCAUGACUCUGUACCCUCCCUGUGUGCUCCAAGUCACUCCAGGAGAAGGGCAGCUGAUACACACUGCUGUGGAAAUGGUGAGCAAACCAGACCCCCUUCUGGUACAUUCUGGUACCUCGAACACAAUAGGUCUUUCCAAACACAGCCUGCAUACACACCCUGGAUCACUAAAUGUGUCUCAAAAACAACUCCCAAAUGAUAGUAUCCUGGGCCGAUAUAUUCCCCACCUGGGUUUUUCACUAGCACAGAAACCAGAGGACUCUUCAGGGCCCUGUGAGCAUCAUUCCUGUGGAUACCAAAGACACCUGGUUCAUUGCACAGACAAUGCAAAAGGAAUCCAGGAUGACAUGGAGAGCCUAGCUGAGAUCAGGAGGUAUGUGUGAGAUGAAUAGGGGCGAGAUGAAGCAGCCAAAAGCAGAGAUACCUGUCUGGGUGUGUGCACUCACAUGAUCUUCAUCCUGAACUCCAACUUCCCAAUAGCAUUAAUGACAAAGGCGAAGGGUGGCAGUGGGCUGAGCUUCUUCUUUGCAGGAAUAGGCAUGUUUCCAGCCCAGCGAGUUAUAUACCAUUUUCCUAGAAGCUAGAGGAGAAGUCAGGCUUCGGGGUCAAGAAAAGACAGGGAAAGGAUUCCCAGGCUGGAGAUGGAGCAGGAGCAUGGCUAAGAGGGGGUUGGGGAGCAUCUUAAUGCAGACAGGAGGGGCCUGAGGCACUGGAAGGACAACAGGCGACCUGGUCAUGACUGGAUCUUCUCUACCAUUUUCAGGCAGAGCCAGGCAAGCUGGAGUAAGGGUCUUCUGGGAGAUAAGUUUCCUGGAAGGGACUCUGUCCUGUGUCCUUAAGGAGGUCCUGCACAAGGAGCUGAGAAAAGUUACCCAGAGAGUGAGGCAGGAUGCAGAGUAGACAGAGCUCAGAGUGGGUCAGUCACAGGUGGAAGGUAACACCAAGCACCCAGAGACUAUGAGAUCAUUUGUGGUCACAGUCACCCCACUCACAUGUCAGCUGAUCCUGGCUGGGGUUCAGUCCCUGUUUCCCCCCACACACUCACACAGUCAGGGAGAAUCCCCCAAGGACUGGACUCAUCAACGUUCUCACAAAACCAAUCAAUCAGUACUCAGUACUCUCUCUGUCCCUACCUUGACACAAUUGUCUCAGGAACAUUAGCAUAUGACCUUCAAGUGACCUUGGCACCUGCCUCCCCUCCCAGGAUCCACACACCCUUGACCUCCCUGUCUCCAGUACACAGGGACCCAGGACCAAACUGAGAGCUGGAAUGGAUGGCUUUCCUGCUUUUAUGGAGGACAGGCAGGAUGAAGACCAAGCAUUUGGUGUGGAAACAUCAGAGAGGAUCUGGUUCCCAAGGCUUGGGUGGCCAAGAGCAUGAACAGCAGCUUGCCAGCACCCAGACUGGAGAAAGGACUUGGGGUCUCUGAGUAAGCUGUGUGGCCAUGACAGACAGCCCAAUGAGCUGGAGUUGUACCUAGGGGGAGACAAGGUGCCUAGAUACAAGCCUCAGUCCCAGGACCAUUUGGCAUAGAUGUUUCUUGGCCUCCAGGACAAAGUCAUCAACAAACAGGAAAGGCACAACCAGGCACCUCUGUUCAUCAGUGAUAGGGUGUGGGAGCAUGGCUGAUCAUAUCAGGACCCUCACAUCUUCUCAGGAAGACAUACCUGAGUUGCUAAACAUGAUCUCUUGGGAAGUCCAUCCCUCUGACCUUCCCUCCCAGCAGUGCUCAGCCCUCAGCAAGCAGCAGUGCUACAUCUGUGCACAUCUCCCUGCAGGAGACUUUCACUGAGAACAGAAGUUCUGAAAAGACUCAAUUCUGUCAUUUGAAAGAAGGUUCUCAGGAGCCACAGGCUGACAGAGGAGUCACUGGUCACUGUGACAAAGUGGUGAGCCAGAUGACACUAUAACCCAUUCCUCUGCCUGUGGGUGCCAACCCUGUGGGGAGCUGAAUGAUGAUACUGGAGGUCAUAGCCUUCAUGGAACCCAGGGACUGUCCCAGAUGUCUACCUGUGGGUCCAUCAGUGACCUCAGACACUCACCCAGUCCAAGGUCAUGACCCAAGAAUCCCAGACCCCACCCUCAGUGCUCCCAUGGCUCUCACCUUCUCAGUGGUGGCAGGAAAUGUAGCAGCCCUGUAGACAGUAGCAGGAAUUGUUAAAGCUUCUUCAUCUUCAGCUGCUACAGAGAGUAGAGUCAGGCUCAGAGGCAGCAGGAGCAGCUUCAUAGUCGCCAUAGUGCCCAUGUGCUUCUGGCCUCCCUGCAGCAUCUACAUCCCAGCCUCACCUGCACAAAGGCCCAUCCAUGUGUGAGCUGAUUGUACCGUUGUUUUGUUUGGACCUCAUAGACACAUGGUGCAGAUUUCUGUAAUUAAACACCUGGCUGCACUUUCACUCAUUCUGAGGAAGCCUUGUCAGGAGAAAGAAUGUUAUCAGAGUGGGAAGCAUGACCUCAAAAUACAGAACAGGAGGAUAAUAAGGGCUCCCGAGUUCCUACCCUUUGCAUGUCCAAGUUCUAUUCCCACCAAAAUCACUCAUAUCACUUAAUCUUACCUCCCAAAACUUCCAACUCCAAACAGUCACCAGCUUCUCUCCACAUAGCAGUGGUGAAUGUAAAACCCUAUCCUCUCCACCACAGCCCCCAGAGAGCUCAGCUGUGGUCUCUCUUCACCACACUCUGGCUCCUGUAUCCUGUCUUCUCUGUAUGCUUACAAGGACCCUGCACAUCUUUCUGACUCUGCAUGUUCUCCCUGCAGCUCCCAUCCUACUCAGCAUCUAGGCUUCUAGAAAUCUUCCAAAUUCUACUGUGCCUUGUCUCAGAGCUGCUCAUUUCUCUCAGGUCAGGCUCCAAGAGUUGGGACUCAAGCCAGACUGAAGUCUUUCCAGAUUGCCCAACUCCCAUUGGUCCUCUGUUCUAUGCCAUAGCACAGUGCAAAUCCACUGCCUUGCAUCUGUGCACAUGUGGAGCUGUGUGUGUGCCUGUGUACAAAUGUAACUGUGCAUUUGUGUCCAUGUAGGUAUGUGGUAGGGCACAUGUGCAUGUGUGUCUGAGAGUUCAUGUGUAUGCCUGUCUUUGAAUUUUGGUGCCUCUGCCUGUGUAUGUGAGUACAUGCUUUGUUCUGAGGUGUGUGUCUCCGUCUUUGUGUAUACAAGUAUACAUAUAU